rnacentral:lncRNA from 1 species
CUUGUGCAAAGAUAGGGCAAGAGCUUUAGAGAGUGCCUAUCAAGAGUGGUGAAGUGUCUUAAGAGGGCUAGAGGUGAUCUGAUGGUGGGUCUAAGCAAGAACAAAGUCUAUGAGAGACUUAGAAGAGUAUUGAGGAGCAAAUGGGCGAGUGUACAAAGAUAGGGCGAGGCUGGUACAGCCAUGUACGGCCUAGUAUGAAUCAGUACGGAUGGUGGACGUACCAAAGGUGUAUACUCGGCCAUUUGUGAGUCUUAGGCUUGGUGCAAACUUAGGGCGUCUAUGUACGGACAUGACAUGAUCUGUACAUGCUCUAAGGAUUGUGAUCAGCCUAACUUGAGUCCCAAGUAAGAAGAAUGGCGUUGGCUGAUUGUGUGAAGAAGCCAAGAGGCGCCAAUGUCUUUGUUUGAAUGUUGGGACCACUUGUGGAUAAGGCACAGCAAGGAGUGAGCUGGCGUGAGCUGUCCCUUGGCUGUAUACUGAUCAUGAAUCUGGACACAAGAAAGGCUACAUUAGGAGGCGCCUAGGAUUAUCCAAUCAGAGGCCAGCCUUCCCCUUUGAACACCCUCAGCCAAUCACAAGACAUCACACAGAUUGCAAUACCAAGCUUACAUCCUAGCCUUCCAUUCAUCUCAAGUUAAUAUUAUCCAUUAGAUUUAGGUUUAUGAGAAUGCAAAGUUGUAAACCUUAUAAAAGGAGAUGUAAUUGGCGAU